AAAAAUAAAAAGUUUUGACUAAAGAUUAUAAAUGAAAAUACAAGAGUUGAUAAAAUGAGAUUUGUUAGAAAUACAACAACACGGAGAAAUAGUUCGUCUUUUGGGGAAUUCAACUAAGUUAAUUAACAAUUAUAAAGUUAGAGUCAAACAACAAACAAUAAAUAAUCACAAUUAAAUAAUUAAAGAGUAAGGGAGAAAUUGAAUUCGGGCCCCUUUUUGGCCAAUUUCGUUGUUGUUUUUGGAGUUUAACACAAUUCCCGUUUUUGGUAUACAGCCGAUGUAUAUCAGUGUAUAUCGGUCAUUUCUUGGCCCCUUUUCAUGUAUUUCUUGCUUCCGGACACCUGCAUUUUUUAUUCCCGACCUCAACCUGUGGCUGCUGCAUUUUUUACCAUAUAUGUUGGCGUAUAUCGCCGUAUAUCAGUGUAUACAAGCUAUGUUUCAGCCUUUUGAAACCUAGUAUUUUGUAUCAGCUUCCAAAACUUGGAAACAAUGGUGAAGUUGACUCGAAGAAGGAGGAAUGUUGGGUUUCAACCAACUCGAGAUGCAAGAGAAAAAGGGGAGUCCUACGGACUCAAACCGAGGUAGUUCAUGCAUAAAAAAAAUGACAACAAUUAGAAUGAUAAUUUAUUUAACUUGAAAUUGUUCACAACCAUUGUUGAAAAGAAAAUACACGAGAUAACUUCAUGAAUAAACACACUAAAAUUUGAACCACCGCAAAGAACAAGUUAUGCAACUACUAAAUUAUUUGACAUUUUUAUUACUGCCUAAGGAAGGAAGAAAUAGCACAGUAGGAGCAAUGUAUUGUAGAAUAUCAUAGACAUUGAUAAUUGAAUGUUAUAUCACCCAUUUAAACUCAAAAUUAAAUCACAACUAAAGGCUGAGGACAAAUUGGACAAUUAGGAGCAUUAAUUCAAAUUAAGACUCAACUAAUUCUCCGCAUGUACUAGCUAAAAUUAUUCAAAGUAAUCACAUUUUAUACUAAACAGUGGUCAGCAAGGACUAAAGCUAAACAAUAGGUAGCAAACAAGUUGGAACAACUAGAUUAUGAUUUUUACGCUUGGGCUAAACAAAGAACCUAAUCAGCUAUACAGAAGCUGGAAUUAAAUUUUAAGUAGAAUCUGCCAUGCUGAACAUAGAACAAAACAACAUUUAAGAUAAAUCGAAAUAGAACCGACAGGCAACCAAACCACAACUUAGAUGAAUAAUAUAGAAUUUCGAAUAACCAUGAACUUUGAUAUGCUAAGAACGAAAAAUAGUGAAAACAGAAUGGCAACCUACAGUGCUGAUUAACAAAUAUGACUUUAAGGAAGAGGUAGCCUCGUGCCCUUUUCGAACUUAACGAGAUCUUAAUGAUAUCAAAAUGCAGCUACGAUAAGGAUGCGAAUCUCAAUCUGACAAACGAUAAGAAAGUGAACUCAACUCUGCCAAAACUUACAACAAACAAUCAGUUUUAUAUAACUCUAAUAGGCAAUAGCACAAAUAAGAACUAUAGCGUACUCGAUCAACGCGAUUUUCCAACAGAAUGCUUAAUCAAGGUAAUACCAAACAUUAAUCAACCAACCUCAAAAUAUAAGCUCGUUCUGAAGGUCGGGCAGUGACAUUCAAUGAGAUGAUUAGUCAUAUAACUUGAAUACGAGAUGCGAGCAGGUGAAUAUAGACAUUGGAAACGAGCUAGAGGAAGGCUGAUCAACUAACACUUAAACCAAGAAUCAGGAGUUCUUUCAUACAAACUAAGCUUCCCACAAGACAAAACAGAUUUUUGUUACUAAAUCACCCAAUCUUAACACAUAAUAACCAAUACAAUGAUCAAGAAAGGUAUACUUAAAACUAACAGGAAUUACACAAAGUAAAGUUAGAAGUAUUUUACCUUCUUCUGGGCAGCGAGACUAGGACGACGAGCUUGAAUGAUUCGACCUUCGACCCACCAGCAGAUGAGUAAAAGAACUUGAAAGAAAAUAAAAAAUCUGAGGCUCAAACCUUCGUGGGUUCGAUUUCGUGGAAUACUAUUCUCCAACCUUCAAAAUUCUAUUCUCUUCCUCUACCGUCCCCCUCAAUAGUGAUCAUAAGAGAGCAAUAUAUAGCCGGAAAUUCGGAGGAAAUCCCCGUGAAAUUUCGAAUUUUUUUUUCAAAUUUUCAUUCUGCCCCUUUUCAAUCCAACAGUGGUAAGCUUUGAAAAAAAAUCCCUAAAAAUGGGGAAAAGGGACGUGAGGGUGAUGGGGGGUCUGCAGGGUAUGGGUUUUGCAGAGCAGUUGGACAAGCUUUUCGGAUUUUGCUGAAUUUUUCUGGGUUGCGUCUGGAGGAAGAAGAAGAGUAUGGGCGGUGGGGUUCUCUGUCAGCUACUGAUGUACG
rnacentral:lncRNA from 1 species